rnacentral:rRNA from 1 species
CCUACGGGAGGCAGCAGUGGGGAAUAUUGCACAAUGGGGGAAACCCUGAUGCAGCGACGCCGCGUGAGUGAAGACGUAUUUCGGUAUGUAAAGCUCUAUCAGCAGGGAAGAAGAAAGACGGUACCUGACUAAGAAGCCCCGGCUAACUACGUGACAGCAGCCGCGGUAAUACGUAGGGGGCAAGCGUUAUCCGGAUUUACUGGGUGUAAAGGGAGCGUAGACGGCUGUGCAAGUCCGAAGGGAAAGCCCAGGGUUCAACCCUGGGACUGCUUUGGAAACUGGGGAGCUAGAGUGCUGGAGAGGUAAGUGGAAUUCCUAGUGUAGCGGUGAAAUGCGUAGAUAUUAGGAGGAACACCAGUGGCGAAGGCGGCUUACUGGACAGUAACUGACGUUGAGGCUCGAAAGCGUGGGGAGCGAACAGGAUUAGAUACCCGAGUAGUC